GUCUUAAUGAUAAUAAUUUUAAGUCGAUCUGCCCAAUGAUGGAAUUUAAUGGCUGCAGUAUAAUUAACUGUACAAAGGUAGCAUAAUCAAUUGUUUUUUAAUUGGAAACUAGAAUGAAAGAAUUAAUGAGAUAUAUACUGUCUCAUAUAUAUUAUAUGAAUUUAUAUUUUUAGUAAAAAUACUAAAAUGAUUUUAUGGGACGAUAAGACCCUAUAGAAUUUUAUAUUAAGGUUUAAAUUUAAUAAAUUUUAUAUUUUAAUAUUUAAUUGGGAGGAUUGGUAAAUUUAAUUAACUUUAUUUAAAAAUUAAACUUUAAUUAAAGAAUAUUUAAUGAUUUUGUAUUAUUGAUUAUAAGAAAAAAUUACCUUAGGGAUAACAGCGUAAUAUCUUUUUAAAGGUCAUAUUUAAAAAGGUGAUUGCGACCUCGAUGUUGAAUUAAGAUAAAUUUUAAAUGCAGAAGUUUAAUAAUUAAGUCUGUUCGACUUUUAAAAUCUUACAUGAUUUGAGUUCAAAUCGACGUGAGU
rnacentral:rRNA from 1 species